rnacentral:rRNA from 1 species
UACGUAGGGACCAAGCGUUGUUCGGAUUUACUGGGCGUAAAGGGCGCGUAGGCGGCAUGACAAGUCACUUGUGAAAUCUCCGGGCUUAACUCGGAACGGCCAAGUGAUACUGUUGAGCUAGAGUGCGGAAGGGGCAAUCGGAAUUCUUGGUGUAGCGGUGAAAUGCGUAGAUAUCAAGAGGAACACCUGAGGUGAAGACGGGUUGCUGGGCCGACACUGACGCUGAUGCGCGAAAGCCAGGGGAGCGAACGGG